AAGCAAUUUUACUUUUUAGUAAAUAAUUAAUAAUGCACUUUAGACAUUUUCUUCUUUGGAUUGUGAGAAUUUACUAUUUAUUUAUGAGAAAUUGGUUAGAAUAUCUUUAAAUAUGAAAGAGUGUACGUUUAUGUAAAUACCCCUCCCUUAUUUUACUUCAAAUAUAAUAAAAUGGAUUAUCAUAAUUUUAUUUUUAUUUUAUUUUUAAAAAAGAAGAAAAACAGAAUCUUAAUCCCUAAAUCUACUCGACCUCCCUUCUUCUACUUCACUCACAGCACCCCCCAUCUGCGACGGCGAACCCCUGCAACGCGACCCCGUGCGACGGCCUCUAGCAACGUGAGCCGCCUACCCCUUUCCCCCGUGUGACUGGAUCCCGUGACCUUCCCCUAUGCGAUGGCGAACCUACAGACGGCGAGCCUCCUGCAACGCGACCCCGUACAACAACGAGCCCACCCAAAUUGUGCGAUUGACCCCUCCCGUUUGCUCUCCGACUGCCAACUCUGUGAGUGAAGUGUGAGUUGUCAACAAAGAUGAAAUCUUCAGACGUACCGUCACUGAGACCAAUCUUUAUGGAGAAUGAACAUUUUGCACCUUGUGUAUCUGUAGCCUACAAAAUACAAGUGUUGAGGAUAUACAUUCAUUACUUUGUUAUGAAGAUUUGGAAGAUUUCACAUCUUCUGAAACUAAUCAAUCUAGCAAAGAGUAGUGGACAGUUAAUCCAUUAUUUAUUAUUUUUAUUGAGGCGAAUAGAAAAAGCAACAAAAGUGUUCCAAUUAUGGAUGUUAUGGACACAACAAAGCCACAUGUAAUGUUUUCUUAAUAAUGUGUAAUUUAUUUUGGGUUUGGUUUGAUAUGUAAUGUUUUCAUAAUAAUGUGGUCUAACGACCCAAAAUUGCUAAUAAGGCUUGAGAGACU